rnacentral:rRNA from 1 species
UACGAAGGGGGCUAGCGUUGCUCGGAAUCACUGGGCGUAAAGGGCGCGUAGGCGGCCUGAUCAGUCGGGGGUGAAAGCCUGUGGCUCAACCACAGAAUGGCCUUCGAUACUGUCGGGCUUGAGACCGGAAGAGGUAAGUGGAACUGCGAGUGUAGAGGUGAAAUUCGUAGAUAUUCGCAAGAACACCAGUGGCGAAGGCGGCUUACUGGUCCGGUUCUGACGCUGAGGCGCGAAAGCGUGGGGAGCAAACAGG